GAGGCUAUAGCUCAGUGGUAGAGCGUAUGCUUAGUAUGCAUGAGGUUCUGGGUUCAAUCCCCAGUGUCUGUG
rnacentral:tRNA from 1 species